rnacentral:lncRNA from 1 species
AUCUCCAAAAUAGCACCUUUCUAAGUUUAUAUCACAAAAAUAGCACUCCAAAACUAAAAUGAUCAAAAUAGCACCAUUCUAAGUUUCUCCUUAAAUCUUAUCCCCAAAACCUCAUUUCUCAACUCUAAACCCUAAACCUUAAACUCUAAACCCUAAACCCUAAACACUAAACUCUAAACCCUAAACCCUAAACCCUAAAACCUAAACUCUAAACCCUAAAUCCUAAACCCUAAAUCC